rnacentral:rRNA from 1 species
GACGAACGCUGGCGGCGUGCUUAACACAUGCAAGUCGAACGGAAAGGCCUGUCCUUCCUUGUGUUGGACGGGUACUCGAGUGGCGAACGGGUGAGUAACACGUGAGUGAUCUGCCCCCAACUUGGGUAUAAGCCUGGGAAACUGGGUCUAAUUCCCGAUAGGACUGCAGGGUGGUGCCUGUGGUGGAAAACGAUUUUCUAGUGGUUGGGGAUGAGCUCGCGGCCUAUCAGCUUGUUGGUGGGGUAAUGGCCUACCAAGGCGGCGACGGGUAGCCGGCCUGGGAGGGUGGACGGCCACAUUGGGACUGAGAUACGGCCCAGACUCCUACGGGAGGCAGCAGUGGGGAAUAUUGCACAAUGGGCGGAAGCCUGAUGCAGCGACGCCGCGUGGGGGAUGACGGCCUUCGGGUGGUAAACUCCUUUCGACCGCGAGGAAGCCGCCUGGUUGGAAGGGUGGUGACGGUAGUGGUAGAAGAAGCACCGGCUAACUACGUG